rnacentral:misc_RNA from 1 species
GAAAUGCGAUACGUAAUGUGAAUUGCAGAAUUCAGUGAAUCAUCGAAUCUUUGAACGCAUAUUGCGCUCUCUGGUAUUCCGGAGAGCAUGCUUGUUUGAGUAUCAGUAAACACCUCAACUCCCUUUUUCUUUUUUGAAAUGAGGGAGCUGGACUUGAGUGAUCCCAACACUUUUCUCACUGAAAAGUGGCGGGUCACUUGAAAUGCAGGUGCAGCUGGACUUUUCUCUGAGCUAUAAGCAUAUCUAUUUAGUCUGCCUAAAAAACAGAUUAUUACCUUUGCUGCAGCUAACAUAAAGGAGAUUAGUUCUUGUGCUGACUGAUGCAGGAUUCACAAAGACGGCUUCGGCCGACUUUGUAAACUCGAUCUCAAAUCAAGUAAGACUACCCGCUGAACUUAA